GACGAACGCUGGCGGCGUGCUUAACACAUGCAAGUCGAACGGAAAGGCCCUGCUUUUGUGGGGUGCUCGAGUGGCGAACGGGUGAGUAACACGUGAGUAACCUGCCCUUGACUUUGGGAUAACUUCAGGAAACUGGGGCUAAUACCGGAUAGGAGCUCCUGCUGCAUGGUGGGGGUUGGAAAGUUUCGGCGGUUGGGGAUGGAAUCGCGGCUUAUCAGCUUGUUGGUGGGGUAGUGGCUUACCAAGGCUUUGACGGGUAGCCGGCCUGAGAGGGUGACCGGCCACAAUGGGACUGAGAUACGGACCAGACGCCUACGGGAGGCAGCAGUGGGGAAUAUUGCACAAUGGGCGGAAGCCUGAGGCAGCAACGCCGCGUGCGGGAUGACGGCCUUCGGGUGGUAAACCGCUGUCGCCUGUGACGAAGCGUGAGUGACGGUAAUGGGUAAAGAAGCACCGGCUAACUACGUG
rnacentral:rRNA from 1 species